AAGCGGACAAUCUCGCAACACAUGAAGCAUAGUUUCAACUUCAUUACCACAGUAAUUAAACAUAGCAGUCCCAAGCCCCAUCCUACUCUUAGCAUAAGUUGUUAGCAGUCUUCCAUGAAUCAUAAGCCAAGCAAAGUGUCGAAUUUGCUCUGGCACACGCAACUUCUAGACACAACGCCACAGAUCAGAUUUAUUACUCUCACCAAAAUCACACAGUGCUGCAUACAUACCAGCAACACAUAAUUUACAAAGAACUUUAUUCAAACAGAGUCGCACAUCAGCACCAUUCGCAACAUCCGGGGGCAGAACAGCAGCAAUACCAUUACACAGUUCAACCGGCAACCAAGUGAUGAGCUCAUUCCAAUUCCACAUCCCCUCUUCAUUCACAAAGUCAGCAACUUUUGCAUUUUGCCACUGAUCAGGUUAAGAGCAAAUUCAAGAUUCCACAAUAGAUCAUUCAUCGAGGGACGAUCGAGUCCAGAAUCAGACAAACACUUUUCAGCUGUAUCUGCAAACUUAUUCAAGCUUUCAGGAUUUAAAGCAGGUCUUGAACACAAUGCCUCGAAUAGAACAACACCGAAAGAGUAAAC